rnacentral:rRNA from 1 species
UACGUAGGGGGGCAAGCGUUGUCCGGAAUUAUUGGGCGUAAAGGGCGCGUAGGCGGCUUUGCAAGUGACGGGUGAAAUCCCACGGCUUAACCGUGGAACUGCCUGUCAGACUGCAUGGCUUGAGACCAGGAGAGGUGAGUGGAAUUCCCAGUGUAGCGGUGAAAUGCGUAGAUAUUGGGAGGAACACCAGUGGCGAAGGCGGCUCACUGGACUGGUACUGACGCUGAGGCGCGAAAGCGUGGGGAGCAAACAGG